rnacentral:rRNA from 1 species
UUAAGCGACUAAGCGUACACGGUGGAUGCCCUGGCAGUCAGAGGCGAUGAAGGACGUGCUAAUCUGCGAUAAGCGUCGGUAAGGUGAUAUGAACCGUUAUAACCGGCGAUUUCCGAAUGGGGAAACCCAGUGUGAUUCGUCACACUAUCAUUAACUGAAUCCAUAGGUUAAUGAGGCGAACCGGGGGAACUGAAACAUCUAAGUACCCCGAGGAAAAGAAAUCAACCGAGAUUCCCCCAGUAGCGGCGAGCGAACGGUGAGCAGCCCAGAGCCUGAAUCAGUGUGUGUGUUAGUGGAAGCGUCUGGAAAGGCGCGCGAUACAGGGUGACAGCCCCGUACACAAAAAUAGCACAUACUGUGAGCUCGAUGAGUAGGGCGGGACACGUGGUAUCCUGUCUGAAUAUGGGGGGACCAUCCUCCAAGGCUAAAUACUCCUGACUGACCGAUAGUGAACCAGUACCGUGAGGGAAAGGCGAAAAGAACCCCGGCGAGGGGAGUGAAAAAGAACCUGAAACCGUGUACGUACAAGCAGUGGGAGCACGCUUAGGCGUGUGACUGCGUACCUUUUGUAUAAUGGGUCAGCGACUUAUAUUCUGUAGCAAGGUUAACCGAACAGGGGAGCCGAAGGGAAACCGAGUCUUAACUGGGCGCUAAGUUGCAGGGUAUAGACCCGAAACCCGGUGAUCUAGCCAUGGGCAGGUUGAAGGUUGGGUAACACUAACUGGAGGACCGAACCGACUAAUGUUGAAAAAUUAGCGGAUGACUUGUGGCUGGGGGUGAAAGGCCAAUCAAACCGGGAGAUAGCUGGUUCUUCCCGAAAGCUAUUUAGGUAGCGCCUCGUGAAUUCAUCUCCGGGGGUAGAGCACUGUUUCGGCAAGGGGGUCAUCCCGACUUACCAACCCGAUGCAAACUGCGAAUACCGGAGAAUGUUAUCACGGGAGACACACGGCGGGUGCUAACGUCCGUCGUGAAGAGGGAAACAACCCAGACCGCCAGCUAAGGUCCCAAAGUCAUGGUUAAGUGGGAAACGAUGUGGGAAGGCCCAGACAGCCAGGAUGUUGGCUUAGAAGCAGCCAUCAUUUAAAGAAAGCGUAAUAGCUCACUGGUCGAGUCGGCCUGCGCGGAAGAUGUAACGGGCUAAACCAUGCACCGAAGCUGCGGCAGCGACGCUUAUGCGUUGUUGGGUAGGGGAGCGUUCUGUAAGCCUGCGAAGGUGUGCUGUGAGGCAUGCUGGAGGUAUCAGAAGUGCGAAUGCUGACAUAAGUAACGAUAAAGCGGGUGAAAAGCCCGCUCGCCGGAAGACCAAGGGUUCCUGUCCAACGUUAAUCGGGGCAGGGUGAGUCGACCCCUAAGGCGAGGCCGAAAGGCGUAGUCGAUGGGAAACAGGUUAAUAUUCCUGUACUUGGUGUUACUGCGAAGGGGGGACGGAGAAGGCUAUGUUGGCCGGGCGACGGUUGUCCCGGUUUAAGCGUGUAGGCUGGUUUUCCAGGCAAAUCCGGAAAAUCAAGGCUGAGGCGUGAUGACGAGGCACUACGGUGCUGAAGCAACAAAUGCCCUGCUUCCAGGAAAAGCCUCUAAGCAUCAGGUAACAUCAAAUCGUACCCCAAACCGACACAGGUGGUCAGGUAGAGAAUACCAAGGCGCUUGAGAGAACUCGGGUGAAGGAACUAGGCAAAAUGGUGCCGUAACUUCGGGAGAAGGCACGCUGAUAUGUAGGUGAAGUCCCUCGCGGAUGGAGCUGAAAUCAGUCGAAGAUACCAGCUGGCUGCAACUGUUUAUUAAAAACACAGCACUGUGCAAACACGAAAGUGGACGUAUACGGUGUGACGCCUGCCCGGUGCCGGAAGGUUAAUUGAUGGGGUCAGCGCAAGCGAAGCUCUUGAUCGAAGCCCCGGUAAACGGCGGCCGUAACUAUAACGGUCCUAAGGUAGCGAAAUUCCUUGUCGGGUAAGUUCCGACCUGCACGAAUGGCGUAAUGAUGGCCAGGCUGUCUCCACCCGAGACUCAGUGAAAUUGAACUCGCUGUGAAGAUGCAGUGUACCCGCGGCAAGACGGAAAGACCCCGUGAACCUUUACUAUAGCUUGACACUGAACAUUGAGCCUUGAUGUGUAGGAUAGGUGGGAGGCUUUGAAGUGUGGACGCCAGUCUGCAUGGAGCCGACCUUGAAAUACCACCCUUUAAUGUUUGAUGUUCUAACGUUGACCCGUGAUCCGGGUUGCGGACAGUGUCUGGUGGGUAGUUUGACUGGGGCGGUCUCCUCCUAAAGAGUAACGGAGGAGCACGAAGGUUGGCUAAUCCUGGUCGGACAUCAGGAGGUUAGUGCAAUGGCAUAAGCCAGCUUGACUGCGAGCGUGACGGCGCGAGCAGGUGCGAAAGCAGGUCAUAGUGAUCCGGUGGUUCUGAAUGGAAGGGCCAUCGCUCAACGGAUAAAAGGUACUCCGGGGAUAACAGGCUGAUACCGCCCAAGAGUUCAUAUCGACGGCGGUGUUUGGCACCUCGAUGUCGGCUCAUCACAUCCUGGGGCUGAAGUAGGUCCCAAGGGUAUGGCUGUUCGCCAUUUAAAGUGGUACGCGAGCUGGGUUUAGAACGUCGUGAGACAGUUCGGUCCCUAUCUGCCGUGGGCGCUGGAGAACUGAGGGGGGCUGCUCCUAGUACGAGAGGACCGGAGUGGACGCAUCACUGGUGUUCGGGUUGUCAUGCCAAUGGCACUGCCCGGUAGCUAAAUGCGGAAGAGAUAAGUGCUGAAAGCAUCUAAGCACGAAACUUGCCCCGAGAUGAGUUCUCCCUGACUCCUUGAGAGUCCUGAAGGAACGUUGAAGACGACGACGUUGAUAGGCCGGGUGUGUAAGCGCAGCGAUGCGUUGAGCUAACCGGUACUAAUGAACCGUGAGGCUUAACCUU